AGCGGCAAGAGCUCAAAUUUGAAAUCUGGUACCUUUGGUGCCCGAGUUGUAAUUUGAAGAAGAAUAUCUUUGGAGAGAGCCUCGUCUAAGUUCCUUGGAACAGGACGUCAUAGAGGGUGAGAACCCCGUGAGAUGAGUGUCUCUUUUCCUUUUAAGAUUUUUUCUAAGAGUCGAGUUGUUUGGGAAUGCAGCUCAAAGUGGGUGGUAAAUUCCAUCUAAGGCUAAAUAUUGGCGAGAGACCGAUAGCGAACAAGUACAGUGAUGGAAAGAUGAAAAGAACUUUGAAAAGAGAGUGAAAAAGUACGUGAAAUUGUUGAGAGGGAAGGGUAUUUGACUAUACUUGGUAUUUAGUUAUCGUUACUCCUUGUGGGUGGCGCUCUAACUUUUUACUGGGCCAGCAUCAGUUUUCGCAGCGGGAUAAAAGCAGUUGAAUGUAGCUCUUCGUAGUGUUAUAGCGUCUGCUCAUACCGUUCGUGGGGACUGAGGACUGCGGU
rnacentral:rRNA from 2 species